CUGCUGGGGGCAGAUGAAAUGGAUGUGGCUGUCGACGCCGCCGGCCGUGAUGAUCUUGCCCUCGCCGGCCACGACGUCCGUACAGCUGCCGACGACCAUGUUGGGCGUCACGCCGUCCAUGACGUCCGGGUUGCCCGCCUUUCCGAUCCCCACAAUCAUGCCGUUCCUCACGCCAAUGUCGGCCUUGUAGAUGCCCGUCCAGUCGACGACGAGCGCGUUGGUGACGACCAUGUCCAGCGACUCGGCGUCCGGCCGCCCCGUCGCCUGACCCAUGCC
rfam:Colletotrichum tofieldiae strain 0861 Ct_v4_contig104, whole genome shotgun sequence.